rnacentral:tRNA from 1 species
GUUCUUGUAGUAGAAACACAACGGUGGCUUUUCACGUCACAGGUCCUGGUUAGAGUCCGGGCAGGAACU